GACGAACGCUGGCGGCGUGCUUAACACAUGCAAGUCGAACGGAAAGGCCCUGCUUUUGUGGGGUGCUCGAGUGGCGAACGGGUGAGUAACACGUGAGUAACCUGCCCUUGACUUUGGGAUAACUUCAGGAAACUGGGGCUAAUACCGGAUAGGAGCUCCUGCUGCAUGGUGGGGGUUGGAAAGUUUCGGCGGUUGGGGAUGGACUCGCGGCUUAUCCGCUUGUUGGUGGGGUAGUGGCUUACCAAGGCUUUGACGGGUAGCCGGCCUGAGAGGGUGACCGGCCACAUUGCGACUGAGAUACGGCCCAGACUCCUACGGGAGGCAGCAGUGGGGAAUAUUGCACAAUGGGCGGAAGCCUGAUGCAGCGACGCCGCGUGCGGGAUGACGGCCUUCGGGUUGUAAACCGCUUUCGCCUGUGACGAAGCGUGAGUGACGGUAAUGGGUAAAGAAGCACCGGCUAACUACGUG
rnacentral:rRNA from 1 species